AUAGACAACAUGGUGGGAAAAGAGGGUUUAUCAUAAAAUCACCCAUGACUGGAAAUGGUCUUAGGUGUUCUUCACAACUAUCAGCAAUUUCCAAGACUUCUUAACCACCUUUUGUUGUUGAACUGCAAAAGCUGACAUAAAGCUAGUACAAAUCAUCAUUAUUUUUUUACAAAUAGGAAAACAAUGAAAUGGAUUGAGCAAAGAGAGACAGAGAUCAGCAGCAACGCAGCUAUACUAAUCUUAAAAGUUUCUUUUAAAAUCAUAUGCUCAUAGCAAGUGAUUUUCCUAUGUGCAUUUAAUCUCCAUUAGAAUCACUUCAUAAUCUUGCAAGCUCACGUUCAGUCACUGAUCAACUGCUAAUUGUAAUCUGAAAGUAUGCUAUAAAUAUGCAACAGUACUCUCUUUGGAGGAUGAGGAAUAAACAAUAUGUUGCUGUUUCCACUGCAAAUGAAUGUGUUGUACUCUUAUUAUUAGUUUUAGGGAUGUAUGGAUGCAUUUUAUUCUAAAAAAAUUUUAAUUUAGCUUCUCAAUGGCAAGCAAAAUGGUUUAUAUGUUUAGCAAAUUGAAAAGCAUUGUGUCAGUAAGCUAAAGACAAAACUUCUCUUCUGGUAGGAAGUUUAACAAGACAUAUGAUAAAUUCUCUAACUUCCUUAGAGAACUCUGACCCUUCAGAUCAAACUUACAUUCUCCUGAUGAGUAGUGCUGAACAGGCAUCGCAUCACUUUUCUGACUGUUGCAGAUAUUAAAGAAAGAAAGCAUACCACCUCGACGGGAUUCCUUCCAAAUGAAAUCUCUGUAGAUUGUACAGUGGUGUGAUGAACACAUUUCCCCACAGCUUCAUAGAAUCUGAAAUGAUUGCAGUUAGUGCAAGUAAUGUCUGAUGUGCUUACUCUGAUGAGGGGCAAACUGCUGUGUGUUCCCUACUGUCUAAUCCUUGAAACGGGCUUUUGAGAUUCUUUUGCAUCUGAAUGAAUGAAAGUCAUUCACCAGUUUGUUUAGUCUGAAUUUCACAUCCAAAUAAGUGGAUAAAUGCCAUCUGAAUAAAAUGCUCCGAAAAGAUCCCAUAAAGAGCCUCCAAGCACAAUCCUCAUAUACGAUCCUCUUAUUGUGGAUCUUUAAUAGUGCAUUUUUCUAUGGCUUGAGGGGUUGUAUAUAAACUUUAAUUUUAAAAUAUCAGAGGAAGAAGACCCUAUUUGCAGAAUAUCAGUUUACACGGUGAGUUAGUGAGUUUGUCAAGACAGUUCUCAAAACCUGAGCUUCAGUAUAAAGCUGCCUCUUAUUUUCCUGUAACAACUACAGCAACCCAAAGUUCCUUGACCCAGUAACUUUACAGAAACAUUGUGGCAUGGGUAUGUUAACAUGUUGCAGCACCAUCCUGUAUUUACGUUUCCUGUAUUUAGGUUUCCACUGUAAAAAGCACGCUUGAAAAAUAGCUUAUUUAUAUGUAAUCUGUAUGAGGAGUUAUGGGGGGGGGGAGGUUAAAUCAUAUCCUAAAUUUCUAAAACUGCUUGAAUUAAAUCUGUAUUGGAAUAUGGAAAUAGUGUCCUAUUACCACCAGUGAAAAAGAAACAAAAAGAAUAAUGAGUGUACUUCUGAAUCAUGACAAGGACAUCCAGAACAUUUCCAAGGAACACCAAAGAGAUCAUUACUAAAACUGCACAUCAUGACAUUAACCCAGAGAUUUUAAUAUGAGCUAUUUCUAAAAACUAAAUGCACAACUGUGGAAAAGUCUUUGAGACAGAUACUGCUUAUUGCCUUGUAUUUAACCAUUAAAGUUACAUUUUGCUAAAAUUAAUCAUAAUUAUCUUAAUUCACUAAUUACCGAGAUGAAAUUGUGUUGAUAAAAUUAUGUGGCCUCUUAAAAAUUAAUAGAUCCACUGUCUUUGUGUUAUCAUGCAAGACUCCCAUUCUUGAAACCCAGGUUUGUUUCCUGAGUAUCUCAGGACUUUGACCUGGACAAGUUUGAAAAUUGAGCCAAUGUGAACAUUAUAAGAUUCAACAAGGCCAAACACGGGGUGCUGCAUCUGGACUGGGGCAAUCCCAAAUGUGAGUACACAGU
ensembl:lncRNA